rnacentral:rRNA from 1 species
UACCGCGGUUAUACGAGAGGCCCAAGUUGACAGACACCGGCGUAAAGCGUGGCUAAACUACGAUCUCCCACUAAAGCCAAACACCCCCAAAGCUGUCAUACGCAGGCGGGGGCAGGAAGUCCCACCACGAAAGUGGCUUUAUUUGAUUUGAACCCACGAGAGCUAGGGGA